AGUAGUCAUAUGCUUGUCUCAAAGAUUAAGCCAUGCAUGUCUAAGUACAAGCCUCACUAAGGUGAAACCGCGAAUGGCUCAUUAAAUCACACCUAAUCUACUGGAUAGUUAACAGUUACUUGGAUAACUGCGGUAAUUCUGGAGCUAAUACAUGCACAAAGCCCCGAACUUACGUGAGGGGCGCUUUUAUUAGAUCAAAACCAAACGGCUUCGGCUGUAUCCUUGGUGACUCUGAAUAACUUUGGGCUGAUCGCAUGGCCUAGCGCCGGCGACAUAUCCUUCGAAGGUGUGCCCUAUCAACUGUCGACUGUGGCAUAGACGCCCACAGUGGUUUUGACGGGUAACGGGGAAUCAGGGUUCGAUUCCGGAGAGGGAGCCUUAAAAACGGCUACCACAUCUAAGGAAGGCAGCAGGCACGCAAAUUACCCAAUGACCGAAGGUCGAGGUAGUGACAAAAAAUAACGAUACGGGACUCAUCUGAGGCCCCGUAAUCGGAAUGAGUACACUUUAAAACCGUCCCCGAGGAUCUAUU
rnacentral:rRNA from 1 species